GGAAGCUACUCUGUCUCCACGCUGUGUGUAAUAGCAACAAGGGAAGCUACUCUGUCUCCACGCUGUAGCGGUUGCUAACGCUCUGUCAAUAUGGCCGCUGCGGACUAGACCCCACAACUAAACACAAUUUCUUUUCGUUCUUUGGGAGUUUUUAAGAACCAUGGGGAAAAAAGGCAAGAAAGGAAAGAAAGCUCCAGAGGUGACUCCACAAGAAGGUCUUCUUGCUUACCAAAUCAAUGUGGUAGAGAAGAAGCUGGAAGAUGUUGGGUAUGAGAUCCGUGGAUGGGUAGAGAAAAACAAGCGUCAUCUGGAACGGAAUGAGAACCUUAAGGCUGAACAAAAGCUGCUUUGGCAGGAUCUACUAGAAAAUGCACGAGCUGUUGCUAGGGUGUUUGAGAAUGAGGAGAUCGUAACAUAUAAAGAGGUCGUUGAUGCCAUGAAGGAAAAAUGGUCAAGACAAAGACAGCGGGAAAAGGAAAUUCAAGAUCUUAAAAGUCAGAUUGCACGGAAAAUGGUGGAGAUUGAAGAAAUGCAACAGGAAGUGAACGUUUGGUUAGCUUACCGUGAUGCUGGGAGACAUGUUCAUGAUACUGAGAUUCGUAUUUUGGAGCAAGAGCUAAGAGACUUGCAAACUUCUUAUGAAGAUAUGUCCACCACCUUGGAGAAAAGCUUCCUUGCUUCAAAAACUGAAGUUGAGAAAUACACAGAUCAGACUUUAGCUUUGCAAAAGGAUAAAGCAUCAGAUAAAGCUAUGUCAUGCCUGGACAAAAAAGACCGACAGGAAGUGCUUGACAAUGACUGGCUGAAGAAAGAGGUGCAGAUCCACCGCUUUGAGACAGCCAAGGUACGAGAGAGGGUGGAAGAUCUAGAGCGCACUAAUCUAGAAAUGAUGAGCGACCUUUUUGACUGCACAGUGGAGGACCUCAAAAUUUCUAGGAAUUUCUUCCUUACACAAUGUGAGAAUGCAGAAAACUUGGAAAGUGCAGGUCUUUUGGAGAUGGAUCUGUGUCGCCUUUUGCCACCUGAUCCAGACCAUGACUUUGUGAAAGGUCGACCACCAAGUGCCACCUUGAAGGCUGUGCAGGAUAAACUCUUGUCAAUUACCAACCACCCUGAAGAACAGGCUGCAGAAUCAAAGAUGAGAGCGAAACUACUGAUGAGCCUAUCCCUUCUUUGAUGUUGGAAGAAGAAGAUUUUGAGGAUUAUCUUCACCUGGGACCUGUGGAGUUAAAACUUCUGAGCAUUGCUGGCACACAGGCUACGCUGCACAAGCCUGAGCCUUUGACAUCAACUCAACUGGCUGCUAAAGAUUACAACCCUGAUGUCUGGCCUGUUACACGACGAAUGCUGAAGAAGGCACUGUCACCCUGCCCCAAGUGAUAUUUAGUAGCUGUCGUACAACUUCAGUUAGCUGCAAAACAGUAUGGCUGAGUUGUUUUUAUUUUAAAUCCCUGGACUGUGAGUGAACAGUUUGGAGGCUUCUUGCUUUUGCAUCAAACUUUCUGUGUUCCAGAAGCAUGUGCACAAAGGAUGUACUGGGCACUGUCAUGAGAAAGCAAGGAGUGACAUGGAGCUAGCCUGGACGCUAGAAGACAGUGCUGGGUGGUGAAAGAGGAAAGAAUGUGAAGCUUAUGUGUAUGUGAAAGGACAUUUAUCUCUCUUUUUUUGGUAAAAAAUCAGCCAGCCUUUGCCUUAUCGCUAACGUUUUCUUUGAGGUGCAAGAAAUAGACCUUUAUCCUUUUUUCUGCAGUAUUUUAAAUAUAGAUUACUUUAGUCUUCAGUUUUAAGAUUGUUUAAAAUAUGGUGCUAAUGCAUGCCUUUCCAUUUUCACAUCAUAAUUUUCCAUGCUAGCAAUUUUGGGAAAGUGACGUUUAGUUAAUGCUGAUGCUUAAGGGUCCACACAUCUUUUUGAAACCACAGACUUACCUCCGCAAAUAUGUCAAAUGAACACAUUUGGUAUUUGGUAUAAAUAUUUUGACUUGUGAUCAGGAUUUUAUACCUUUCUCCAUGGUGAUGUUUGUAGACCCAUAUCUCAGGAAGAAGUAAGUGGAGAAAGUGGUUCACUCAAUAAUAAGAUUACAUUGUACAGAGCUCAUUCCAGUCAUUUGAAAAAUGUUUUGCGCUAUAGUAGAUCUUUAAAUCUGCUGUUGACUGCUACUAUGCAGCUUGAUGUUUGCAGAUGAAGUGUUUGUCCAAAAAUACCCACAAAUAUUUUUAUUUUGUUCAUCACUUGUCAGAUGAUGUCUGCAUUAAAAAAGAUUCAUUUGCUUUUGAA
rnacentral:misc_RNA from 1 species